GAGACAGGAUGGUGAAGGCUGUUUCUAUUCUUGGCAGUAGCAAGGGCGUCAGCGGAACUGUCUUCUUCACACAGGAAGGAAAUGACCUACCACGGUGACUGGAAGUGUUUCUGGGCUCAAGCCGAGGCUUCACGGUUUCCAUGUCCAUGCUCUUGGUGACACGACGAACGGUUGCAUGUCAAAUGCUCAUCUUCUCCGCCUCCUCUGAUUCUUCUUCUUCUCCUUCGAAACCCCCUCGACUCGAGCAGAAAUUGCAGAGUGCAUCUUCGAGAUUCUUUCGGUUGUUCUUCAUCGGUUCGUCGCUCCUCUCCCUCUUCUCCUUUGCUUGUGGUUGCGGUGACAAAUUGAGGCAUUGGACUGGAUUUCCCAAUUCCCUAAACAUUGAUAAAAAGGUUGAACUGAUCUUGAGUGAUGUCAAUACCCAGUAUGAUAUAUCUGAUGUUCUUGACAGUGAUGAGAGAUUGGGAUUUCAUGUGUGAUGUGCGGUAGCUGUAGAAGCAGUAGUUGAGGUGUCUUGUGGAGUAAUUUGGUGUUUUGAUUCUGACAAGUUCUACUUCUCUUCCUGAUGGUAGUCUAUCUUGGAAAAUUGGAUGGAAAAAAAAAAUCUUCGUUUUGUUGCUUUUCAAAUUAUGUAAUGAAUGGG